rnacentral:rRNA from 1 species
UACGUAGGGACCAAGCGUUGUCCGGAAUCAUUGGGCGUAAAGAGCGUGUAGGCGGCUUGUUAAGUCUUGCGUGAAAUCUCGGGGCUCAACCCCGAGCGGUCGUGAGAAACUGGCAGGCUAGAGUGCGGGAGAGGAGAGUGGAAUUCCUGGUGUAGCGGUGAAAUGCGUAGAUAUCAGGAGGAACACCUGUGGCGAAAGCGGCUCACUGGACCAUAACUGACGCUGAUGCACGAAAGCUAGGGGAGCAAACAGG